rnacentral:rRNA from 1 species
GAUGAACGCUGGCGGCGUGCCUAAUACAUGCAAGUCGAGCGAACAGAUGAGGAGCUUGCUCCUCUGACGUUAGCGGCGGACGGGUGAGUAACACGUGGAUAACCUACCUAUAAGACUGGGAUAACUUCGGGAAACCGGAGCCAAUACCGGAUAAUAUAUUGAACCGCAUGGUUCAAUAGUGAAAGACGGUUUUGCUGUCACUUAUAGAUGGAUCCGCGCCGCAUUAGCUAGUUGGUAAGGUAACGGCUUACCAAGGCAACGAUGCGUAGCCGACCUGAGAGGGUGAUCGGCCACACUGGAACUGAGACACGGUCCAGACUCCUACGGGAGGCAGCAGUAGGGAAUCUUGCGCAAUGGGCGAAAGCCUGACGGAGCAACGCCGCGUGAGUGAUGAAGGUCUUCGGAUCGUAAAGCUCUGUUAGUAGGGAGGAACAAAUGUGUAAGUAAAUAUGCACGUCUUGACGGUACCUAAACAGAAAGCCACGGCUAACUACGUG